rnacentral:rRNA from 1 species
GAUGAACGCUAGCGGCAGGCCUAAUACAUGCAAGUCGAACGGUAAGGCCCUUUCGGGGUACACGAGUGGCGGACGGGUGCGUAACGCGUAUGCAACAUGCCUUCCAGCGGGGGAGUAUACCAGGGAAACUUGGCGCAAUACCCCACUAGAAUUACGGACCGCAUGGUCUUGUGAUUAAAACUACCGGUGCUGGGAGAUUGGCAUGCGUGACAUUAGCUAGUUGGCGGGGUAACGGCCCACCAAGGCGACGAUGUCUAGCUGGUCUGAGAGGAUGAUCAGCCACACUGGGACUGAGACACGGCCCACGACUCCUACGGGAGGCAGCAGUAGGGAAU